GAUUAUCAACUUUCGAUGGUAGGAUAGAGGCCUACCAUGGUGGUAACGGGUAACGGGGUGUUAGGGCACGACACCGGGAGAGGGAGCUGAGAAACGGCUACCACAUCCAAGGAUGGCAGCAGGCGCGCAAAUUACCCAAUCCCGACACGGGGAGGUAGUGACAAUAAAUAACAAUACGGGGUUCUUUCGGAUUUCGUAAUUGGAAUGAGUACAAUUUAAAUCUCUUAACGAGGAACAAUUGGAGGGCAAGUCUGGUGCCAGCAGCCGCGGUAAUUCCAGCUCCAAUAGCGUAUAUUAAAGUUGCUGCAGUUAAAAAGCUCGUAGUUGAAUUUCGGGACUAAUAUGUCGGUCGUGCCUCGGUACGUACUGGCUUAUUGGUUUCUCCUUUCUGAAGAACCAUGAUGUCAUUUAUUUGGUGUCGUGGGGAAUCAGGACUGUUACUUUGAAAAAAUUAGAGUGUUUAAAGCAGGCUCACGCUUGAAUACAUUAGCAUGGAAUAAUGAAAUAGGACGUUUGAUUCUAUUUUGUUGGUUUCUAGGAUCGACGUAAUGAUUAAUAGGGAUAGUUGGGGGCAUUAGUAUUCAAUUGUCAGAGGUGAAAUUCUUGGAUUUAUUGAAGACUAACUACUGCGAAAGCAUUUGCCAAGGAUGUUUUCAUUAAUCAAGAACGAAAGUUAGGGGAUCGAAGACGAUCAGAUACCGUCGUAGUCUUAACCAUAAACUAUGCCGACUAGGGAUCGGAUGAUGUUAAUUUUUUAAUGACUCAUUCGGCGCCUUACGGGAAACCAAAGUGUUUGGGUU
rnacentral:rRNA from 1 species